AUUGGUUCCACAAAAAACAUGACUAUUAUAGUGAAAUGUUGUUUAGAAGAUGAUUGUUAUAGAGGUCUGACUCUAUAUACAAUUUAAAAAAUACAUGAAUUAUACAUAUAUUAUACAUCCGCCGACAAUUUUUAAUUUAAGUGAUUGGGUGGAUGACUAUUUAGAUUUAACUGUUCAUAUUAUUAAGGAAUUUGUGGACACCACCAAUAUAUGAUGGGCCACAAAAAUAUAAUCUAAAAAUGAGAAAGUAAAGGCAAUUAAGCAAAGGACCUUUUUUGCAACAAAAAACAUUCUCCGAAGCCCUAUAAAUAAAGGUCUCUACAAGAGAAGUAGAGCAACCAAAACAAAAAAAACAAAAAAAAAACUCUGCAACUUUUUAUCAUCAUUAGUGUUAAAAUGGCUGGUGCACCUUCAUCACUUAAUUUGGGUCUGGUUUUCAAAGUUCUCCUUGUAAUUGUUGUAUUGACUUGGUCACAAGUGAUCAUGGCUAUGAGAGACAUGCCUGAGGAAUUAAAAGAACUCCGACAAAGGCUAACUCUAAGUGAUAUUUAUACUUGUGGCAAACACUGCAACACCAAUGCUGAUUGUAGUGAAGCAUGGGCUUGUAAAACAUGCAGAUAUUUUGGAUAUAUACCUACACAAUGUGAUUGGGUGUGGAGCUUUUAGAUGAAUUAAUUAAGAAUUAAGAUAUAUAUUGUUAAAUCCUGCAUAAUUAUGAAGUGUGUGAUAAAUUAAAAAUAGAUCCACUUUAAUUAAUUAUAAUCUAAUGUUGUAUAGAUUACUAUUAAAUAAUUUAGCUGCAUUUCUGAUGCUAGCUAAAAGUCAUGUGGGGGUAAUUGUACUAGUCGUGUACUAAAUAUUGUGAUGUUUGAAUGCUAGUUUGUUUGAUCUAUUAUGGUUUGUACUUAUUGUGAAAUAUGGAGAGAAAAAAAAGUUUGUGUUUUAAUAUCCCAUUUAGGGAAUUGUUAUAUUAAUGAAAUAUGGAUAAUGCCUUGA